rnacentral:lncRNA from 1 species
AAAAAAAAGAGAGAGGUGGUUAAAAAAUAAAAUAAAUAAAAGAAGAAGCUAGAAAGGGGGGAGCAUGUUCACACGUGAGAGAGGAAGCUAUCAAAACCGACCCGAAACCCGACCCAAACCUACGAACCCGACCCGGAUAUAUAUCCGAUUUCCGGUCACCUCACCGGCCGAGGAAGAUACCAAUCUGAAGCUUGAAGACCGGUCGUCGUAUCCCAGCCAUCACUGUCGCCGAUUAACAGCCAGAAUUCUGUCUUUUUAGUUCGAUAAGCCGCGGUAAAACCCACCCUUUCUUGCCGUCGCUUCCGUCGGUUUUUGGUGACGCCCCCGCCUGGAUCUUGAUCCUGAACUCACUCUCAUCAUUUUCCAACCAACCCCACCAUCUGAAACUACUUUUUGGCCGCGAACGAUCGCCGGAAAGCUUGCAGCUUCUCGAUCUGCCGCUGUUGCCGUGCGUGGGAGCUCACCGUCGGCACUAUUAGACUCAGCGUGGUUGGAACUAUCAGACCCGAGCUUCUCGGCCACCGUUGAAUUACCGGUCACCGUUGACCGGCGAGGGCAAUUAGGUAAUUUCACAUUUUGAGGUCAAUUUUGUAAUUUCGGUUCUGGAAUUGUGGAUUGGUUGUAAUUAUGAUUCCGAGGGUAAUUUAGUGAUUUAUAAUUUUGGAGUAUUUUAAUAAUUUACGGAUGCAAGUAUAUUUUGGUAAUUUUAUUGCCGUGGAG